UCCAGACUCCUACGGGAGGCAGCAGUGGGGGAUAUUGCACAAUGGGGGAAACCCUGAUGCAGCGACGCCGCGUGAGUGAAGAAGUAUUUCGGUAUGUAAAGCUCUAUCAGCAGGGAAGAAAAUGACGGUACCUGACUAAGAAGCCCCGGCUAACUACGUGCCAGCAGCCGCGGUAAUACGUAGGGGGCAAGCGUUAUCCGGAUUUACUGGGUGUAAAGGGAGCGUAGACGGCCAGACAAGUCAGAAGUGAAAGCCCAGGGCUCAACCCUGGGACUGCUUUUGAAACCGCCGGGCUGGAGUGCAGGAGAGGUAAGCGGAAUUCCUAGUGUAGCGGUGAAAUGCGUAGAUAUUAGGAGGAACACCAGUGGCGAAGGCGGCCUGCUGGGCUUUUACUGACGCUGAGGCUCGAAAGUGUGGGGAGCAAACAGGAUUAGAUACCCCCGUAUC
rnacentral:rRNA from 1 species